GAUGAACGCUGGCGGCGUGCCUAACACAUGCAAGUCGAGCGAAGCGCUUAAAUUAGAUUUCUUCGGAAUGACGAUUUUUGUGACUGAGCGGCGGACGGGUGAGUAACGCGUGGGUAACCUGCCUCAUACAGGGGGAUAACAGUUAGAAAUGACUGCUAAUACCGCAUAAGACCCCAGCUUCGCAUGAAGCGGUGGUAAAAACUCCGGUGGUAUGAGAUGGACCCGCGUCUGAUUAGCUAGUUGGUAAGGUAACGGCUUACCAAGGCGACGAUCAGUAGCCGAACUGAGAGGGUGACCGGCCACAUUGGGACUGAGACACGGCCCAGACUCCUACGGGAGGCAGCAGUGGGGAAUAUUGCACAAUGGGGGAAACCCUGAUGCAGCGACGCCGCGUGAAGGAUGAAGUAUUUCGGUAUGUAAACUUCUAUCAGCAGGGAAGAAAGUGACGGUACCUGACUAAGAAGCCCCGGCUAACUACGUG
rnacentral:rRNA from 1 species